rnacentral:rRNA from 1 species
GAGUUUGAUCCUGGCUCAGGAUGAACGCUGGCGGCGUGCUUAACACAUGCAAGUCGAACGGACCCAUAUUGAAACCUAGUGAUAUAUGGGUUAGUGGCGGACGGGUGAGUAACGCGUGGGUAACCUGCCUUACACAGGGGGAUAACACUUAGAAAUAGGUGCUAAAACCGCAUAAGCGCACAGCUUCGCAUGAAGCGGUGUGAAAAACUCCGGUGGUGUAAGAUGGACCCGCGUCUGAUUAGCUUGUUGGCGGGGUAACGGCCCACCAAGGCGACGAUCAGUAGCCGGCCUGAGAGGGCGGACGGCCACAUUGGGACUGAGACACGGCCCAGACUCCUACGGGAGGCAGCAGUGGGGAAUAUUGCACAAUGGGGGAAACCCUGAUGCAGCGACGCCGCGUGAGUGAAGAAGUAAUUCGUUACGUAAAGCUCUAUCAGCAGGGAAGAAAAUGACGGUACCUGAGUAAGAAGCCCCGGCUAACUACGUGCCAGCAGCCGCGGUAAUACGUAGG